rnacentral:ncRNA from 1 species
CCUGCGCCGCCAUUUCGCGGUCAGUUAAGCCACCACAAAUUUGAAUAAUGCGGUCUGAUAAUGUGGACUUACCAUGGUCGAUAUGUGCAAUGAUCGAAAAGUUUCUGAUGUUUUUGAUUUUCAAGGUAAUAUCUUCUUUUAAAUUGCCUUACAAAAUCAGUUUUGUGCAAAAUUUGCUACAAAACUAAAAUGCUAUGAUUAUCACAAGAUUGCUAAUUAGCAGCAUUUUACAUACAAGAACCCUCUAACACAAAGAUUCAAUGUAAAACAACUGUAAAACAGCCGAAGUUUAAUAAGUUACUGAUGACAUUUUUGAGUAACUAAAAGCAAAAUCGCCAAUAACUAUUAAUAAUGGCUACGGGCGAAUAAUGGCUACAGGUGAUUUCGGCUCAAGAAUGGGUUUGAACACAAACCUCUCCGGGGGGAAGACCUAUUUGCAAAACAAUUGGUUGAAAAUCUAUUUUAUGGCGCCAAUGUGAUGCCAUUGUACGCGCAAUAAAAAAUCCAGCAAACCCGCCAAAUACACCCGAAACAGCCACCCAUAGCUGUUCAAAAUCAGCAGACUGCGCUAAUGCAGCAAAUAAGAAUAGGCCAAUCAGUGGCGUUAAAUAGACCAACAUCGCCGAACGUAAUAGGCUACCUUCAGGGAUGCCAACCUCUAUUUUUUGCCCUACAACGAGAGGUUGCUCAAUUUCAAUUUCUAAUUCAUGCUCUGUAUUCGGUCCGAUUUUAUUCAAUGCAUAAGAGCCGCAAGCAGCUCGUGCACUGCAACUGCCACACCCUGCUGAAGAGCCAUAACGCAAUAAUGCGCGCCCUUUUUGCCAUCGAACAACUGUUGCCCAUUCUUUUACCAUGAUUUACUCCCGAAAUUGGAUGCUAC